AGGGGUAAGACGACUUCCCUCCGGCGGGUAGACGGGCCUGCUGGGAUACUCCAGGAUGACUGGGAAAGGCACGGGGCGGGGUCUCGCCGUCCGCAGAACGCCGGAAACGGAGUCCUUCCAGACGACUUCCGGUUCCGGUGUAGGCGGUGGUUGAGUUGCCAUGGCAGCGCGGUUGGCAGGAGCCUGGUUGUUGCAUCAGGGCGGUGGCCGGCCUGGAGCAGGCCUGGGCCUGGCUUUCCCAGCUUAGGUGAGCGACCCGGGUGCCUCCGUAAGGCCGCGGCCGAAUGCGGCUGCUCGUGGCGGGAGCGGGGGCCGGGCCGGGCACUGGCGGCCAGGCCUGCCCGGGGCUCCGGCGUCCGGGCCGGGACCACGAGUCCCGCCCGCCCACGUGGGAACACAGGCACGAUCGAUCCCCGUGGCUCCCGCCUCUGGCGCGCGACGAUUUCUCUAACACUUUCAUUUUAAAAGUUUGUCAAGCGCUCUCGUUUGUGUGAUCCGCGCUGGGUUUGGGGCUUCGCUGACUUUCCAGCUCACCUAAGCCCUUAGGCCUAGGCCCAGGGAAGAUUUGUUGAGUGGAGGACUAAGAAGGGAGUUGGUUUAUGGGACAGAUGUUCCUUGAGCAGCUGCUGCGUGCUGGACAUGGCGCCAGCGCGGGAUCUUCAGGGCGACCUGGGGCCCGAAGCUUGGAGUCAGCGUGAGAAAGGAGAAGCAGGUUCCUUGAUUCCAGAUAAAUCAGAGGAACAAGCUUCAUGAACAAAAAUAUAUUGGGAAUGCUGUGGCACUGCAGCGUGACUGUUGUUUCGGAAGUCUAACAUCUGGCACGCUUAACAGCUGAGAAUAUAUUAUUUCCGAAAGCACCUAGCUUUUACUCAUGCUUAUAGUAUAGUAAGUUCUUUUUUUUUUUGUUUGAGGAAGAUUAGCCCUGAUCUAACA